rfam:Dipodomys ordii contig_25614, whole genome shotgun sequence.
GGGAAGGUAGCUCAGUGGUAGAGUGCUUGCCUCGCAUGCAUGAGGUCCUGGGUUUGAUUCCUCAGCACCA